AGAGUUUGAUCCUGGCUCAGGAUGAACGCUGACAGAAUGCUUAACACAUGCAAGUCGAUUCAAGUUACCUUCGGGUAAUGAGGAUGGCGGACGGGUGAGUAACGCGUAAGGAACUUGCCUCUUGGUCUGGGACAACUGUUGGAAACGACAGCUAAUACCGGAUAUUAUGAGAUUCUCGCAUGGGAAACUUACGAAAGCUAUAUGCGCCAAGAGAGAGCCUUGCGUUCCAUUAGCUAGUUGGUGGGUAACGGCCACAAGGCGACGAUGGAUAGCCGGCCU
rnacentral:rRNA from 1 species